UACGUAGGCAGCGAGCGUUGUUCGGAGUUACUGGGCGUAAAGGGUGUGUAGGCGGUUCUUUAAGUUUGGUGUGAAAUCUCCCGGCUCAACCGGGAGGGUGCGCCGAAAACUGAAGGACUAGAGUGCGGGAGAGGAAAGUGGAAUUCCUGGUGUAGCGGUGAAAUGCGUAGAUAUCAGGAGGAACACCGGUGGUGUAGACGGCUUUCUGGACCGUAACUGACGCUGAGACACGAAAGCGUGGGUAGCAAACAGG
rnacentral:rRNA from 1 species